rnacentral:lncRNA from 12 species
GGCGGGGAAGGAGCCCUUGGAGGGUGGCCGCCGCCGGGGAAUACACCGGAACGCUGGUGUCCCGUCCCAAGGGCCAGGAGACAAUGCUCAGGGACGUCCAAUCCUAGAGGGUCUGUUCCUUUCUUCAAGAAGCAUCCACCAGCACCAGGCGGGCGCUGGGACCACAGACAAGUGUCGGAGGAAAGGUGCAGGUGAGGGAGGGGCAGCAGCGGGGCCGGGCUGGGGAGAGCCCCUGGAGGGAGGACCACGGAGGGAGGGGGCUGCAGAGGCAACGGG